GACAGAGGGUGCAAACGUUGUUCGGAAUUACUGGGCGUAAAGCGAGUGUAGGCGGCUAUGCAAGUCGGGUGUGAAAUCCCACGGCUCAACCGUGGAAGUGCACUCGAAACUACGUAGCUGGAGUUCUGGAGAGGAAGGUGGAAUGCUCGGUGUAGAGGUGAAAUUCGUAGAUAUCGAGUGGAACACCGGUGGCGAAGGCGGCCUUCUGGACAGAAACUGACGCCGAGACGCGAAAGCGUGGGGAGCAAACAGG
rnacentral:rRNA from 1 species